rnacentral:lncRNA from 1 species
CCCUAACAUUUUUAUGCCCCACCUACGAUAGUAGAGGGGCAUUAUGUUUUCUGGUCUGUGCGUCCGUUCGUCCGUCCGUCUGUUCGUUCGUCCGUUCGUUCGUCCGUCUGUCCCGCUUCAGGUUAAAGUUUUUGGUCAAGGUAGUUUUUGAUGAAGUUGAAGUCCAAUCAACUUGAAACUUAGUAUACAUGUGCCCUAUGAUAUGAUCUUUCUAAUUUAAAUGCCAAAUUAUAGUUUUGACCCCAAUUUUACGGUUCACUGAACAUAGAAAAAUGAUAGUGCAAAUUUCAGGUUAAAGUUUUUGGUCAAGGUAGUUUUUGAUGAAGUUGAAGUCCAAUCAACUUGAAACUUAGUAUACAUGUGCCCUAUGAUAUGAUCUUUCUAAUUUAAAUGCCAAAUUAUAGUUUUGACCCCAAUUUUACAGUUCACUGAACAUAGAAAAUGAUAGUGCAAAUUUCAGGUUAAAGUUUUUGGUCAAGGUAGUUUUUGAUAAAGUAGAAGUCCAAUCAACUUGAAACUUAGUAUACAUGUUCCCUUUGAUAAGAUCAUUCUAAUUUUAAUGCCAAAUUAAAGAAUUUAUUCCAAUUUCACGGUCCACUAAACAUAGAAAAUGAUAGUGCGAGUGGGGC